rnacentral:rRNA from 1 species
GACAGAGGAGCCAAGCGUUGUCCGGAUUGACUGGGCGUAAAGCGCACGCAGGCGGUGCGGCACGUGGGGUGUGAAAGCGGCCCGCUUAACGGGUCGAGGCCAUCCCAUACGGCCACACUCGAGGGUGGCAGAGGUUCGUGGAAUUGCCGGUGUAGUGGUGAAAUGCGUAGAGAUCGGGAGGAACACCAGUGGCGAAGGCGACUACCUGGCCUGUUCUUGACGCUGAGGCGCGAAAGCUAGGGGAGCAAACGGGG